GGCCAGGUGGCGGAGUGGUUACGCAGCGGCCUGCAAAGCCGUGUACACGAGUUCGAUUCUCGUCCUGGCCUCCA
rnacentral:tRNA from 1 species